CGGGGGGCAGCAGUGGGGAAUAUUGGACAAUGGGGGCAACCCUGAUCCAGCAAUGCCGCGUGUGUGAAGAAGGCCUGAGGGUUGUAAAGCACUUUCAGUGGGGAGGAGGAUUACUAGGUUAAGAGCUGAGUAAUUGGACGUUACCCACAGAAGAAGCACCGGCUAACUCCGUGCCAGCAGCCGCGGUAAUACGGAGGGUGCGAGCGUUAAUCGGAAUGACUGGGCGUAAAGGGUUCGUAGGUGGUUUAUUAAGUUGUUGGUGAAAUCUCCGGGCUUAACCUGGGGUUGACGAAUGAAACUGAUAGACUCGAGUAUAGGAGAGGGUAGUGGAAUUUCCGGUGUAGCGGUGAAAUGCGUAGAGAUCGGAAGGAACACCAGUUGCGAAGGCGGCUACCUGGCCUGGUACUGACACUGAGGAACGAAAGCGUGGGGAGCAAACAGGAUUAGAUACCCUGGU
rnacentral:rRNA from 1 species